AGCGAACGCUGGCGGCAGGCCUAACACAUGCAAGUCGAACGAAGUCUUCGGACUUAGUGGCGGACGGGUGAGUAACACGUGGGAACGUGCCUUUAGGUUCGGAAUAACUCAGGGAAACUUGUGCUAAUACCGAAUGUGCCCCUCGGGGGAAAGAUUUAUCGCCUUUAGAGCGGCCCGCGUCUGAUUAGCUAGUUGGUGAGGUAAAGGCUCACUAGGGCGACGAUCAGUAGCUGGUCUGAGAGGAUGAUCAGCCACAUUGGGACUGAGACACGGCCCAAACUCCUACGGGAGGCAGCAGUGGGGAAUCUUGCGCAAUGGGCGAAAGCCUGACGCAGCCAUGCCGCGUGAAUGAUGAAGGUCUUAGGAUUGUAAAAUUCUUUCACCGGGGACGAUAAUGACGGUACCCGGAGAAGAAGCCCCGGCUAACUUCGUGCCAGCCGCCGCAGUAAUAC
rnacentral:rRNA from 1 species